rnacentral:rRNA from 1 species
UACGUAGGCAGCAAGCGUUGUUCGGAGUUACUGGGCGUAAAGGGUGUGUAGGCGGUUGUUUAAGUUUGGUGUGAAAUCUCCCGGCUCAACUGGGAGGGUGCGCCGAAUACUGAAUGACUAGAGUGCGGGAGAGGGAAGUGGAAUUCCUGGUGUAGCGGUGAAAUGCGUAGAUAUCAGGAGGAACACCGGUGGUGUAGACGGCUUUCUGGACCGUAACUGACGCUGAGACACGAAAGCGUGGGUAGCAAACAGG